UUAAUGCCUCAUUUGAUGUGAAAAGUACCCUGCCUGCUACUUGAUUCAAUUUGAGUCUUCAUCAAUACUUGUUCAGUUGCCUGAGCUGUAGUCAUGCUGUUCAUAAGUCAGAGAGAAGGAUGUGCAAGCAAUCAUCCAUUUUGGCAUAUUUGAGGCAUUUUAGUUAAAAUUUUGAUAUUAGUAGCAGAAUUACAUGCAUAAUUGAAGCAUCAUCUUUUAAUCAUAUUAGGUAGGUUCUUAAUGUUGUUUUCACAUAGUUGUGUAUUAUACAGUGAAUUUGUAGAUGUAGAAAUUUCAUACUUAGAAUUAACUUUAUAUAUAUGUAUAAAGAAUAUGGUUAUGAGAUAUGGAUUGAACAUGGACUUGAUUAAGUUGGAUAUUGGUGGAACAAGUGGAUCAAUCAGUUGGACUGUAAGAUUAAUAAAGUUUUCUAAAAUUAACAUAUAAUUAAAUAUUAUAAUAAAAAAUAUAAAAUAUAUGAUAAUAUUAUUGAGAUAAUAAUGAAUAUAUUUUAUGAUAAAUGACUUAAAUAUCCAUAAAAAAAAUUCAGAUGUCUUUGAUGGUAGAUAAAAAAAUAUUUUAAUAUUGAAGAGAGAAGAAAGGACAAGGAGAAAAAUAAUGGGAGAUUGUAGGUCUAAUCACCAAUGUUUCACAACAGUAACCUACUUGUGGAAUCAUACUUCAUAGCUCUGCUGCCCUAUGUUUUAUGACAUGACACACAGAUUUGAAAUACUAUAAUCUUGAAUGGUUUCAGACAACUGUUUUGGCAAUCAACCUGUGGAUGUCAAAAUAAUGUGUUCAUCCCAGACUGUGUUGAGCUUAUCCUAGUUUGACUUGUGAAUGUGGAUUUAAAUUACUACAUUUUAUGAUAAUAUUAAUGCACUACUACAUUUGAUAUAAUGAACAAUAUAUUCUCUAUAAUAAAUUUAAAUUUGGAUUACUAUAUUACGGUAUCAGAUUAUAUAAUAGGAUAUCGAUUUUUUAGUUGGUACCGGAUGAUGUAGGUCGAUGUAUCGCCCGAUAUAAAGAUACCAUCAUGCCAUAUCGACAUGAUAAAUUAUUGAAAUCGGUAUUUAUUUUUUUCCUUGUUUAAACCAAAUUAAAACGUAUUAUGUCAACAUCAUCGAUAAUAAUAAAAGAAUAAAGAGCAAAGGAGGGGGACUAAUCUAGUAACUUGCAAGGUGCAUGCAAAAUGUGUGGCCUUCUCUUGUUUCAGUUGUAUGAAUUCAAGCCUAUUUAUAGCUGUGGUAUAGGAAUUCAAGCCUCUUUCAUUUGGUGCAAUCAUUCACUAACUUGCAACCACAGCUGCCAAUGGCCACCAGACACUAAUUCUCCACAAACAAUGCAUGGAAAGCAAAAAAAGAAUGAACCAAAAGAGCAAGUGCAAACACAUAGGAAGAUUAUAUUUAUUGUUUAGAUCAACCUAAUAUUGGUUUAAUUAUCAGAAUGUAAUCUUAAUCUAUUCAUAAGGUUGGCAUGAGUCUUCGGAAUUAGUUUUCAGAAGCAAUUUUCUUCUGCUUAACAUCUAGAAUUGAUGAAGUGCUGUGUGCACAGUAAAAUGAACUGUUGUUAGCAUCUAAUGCACACACACAUAUAUAUUUUUUUUGUAUACAAUGUAAGCCAAGAAAAUAUAAUUUGGGGAUAUAUAACAAUUUUAUAAUUGAUAGUUCACAUUUUAUGUGGGAUUAAUAUAAUCAUAGUAUCAUAGUGAAACUAACAGUGCUUCAAUAUGUUACCUUAUAGAAUGUAUAUUUAUUACAUAUACACUAGCUUUCAAUGAAACCUUACACCCUUGUUCUUAUAGUGGAACAUUUGCAUUGGCCUAUAUAUAGUCUAUUAUUCUCACUACCUUGUCAGAUAAAUACAUUGCUGUUGUCCCAUCUCUCUCGCUCUCUCUCUCUCUGCGACUGAGGAGGAGGAAGAGACGAUGGGUGCGUUUGAUCACCUCUCGGAUUUUUGCAGUGUCACAGAGACAAGGAGAGCAUUGCAAAUAAGGAAAAGGAAGCCGCUACAGACUGUCGAUCUGAAGGUGAAGAUGGACUGUGAUGGCUGUGAAAGGAGAGUAAAGCAUGCUGUGAGCUCAAUCAGAGCUUGCACAGAAGAGAGUGAAGUCCAUUCGAUCGGAUGUAUAUGGAUCGCUGUUUCUGGUAGGAGCACUGACAGACAUCAUCGAAACUUGUGGUCAGGUGUGACGAACGUGAACGUGAACCGAAAGCAGAGCAGGGUGACGGUCACCGGCCACAUCGAGGCAAAGGAAGUGGUGAGGAAGAUAAAGAGCACCGGGAAGAGGGCGGAGGCUUGGCCUUACGUCCCCUACAGCUUGGUCGCGUAUCCUUACGUCGCCGGCGCCUACGACAAGAAGGCCCCAGCCGGCUUCGUUCGGAACGUGGCGCAGGCGGUGGCGAGCCCCAGUGCGCCGGAGGAGAAGGUCUCGUCGCUCUUCAGCGAUGAGAACCCGAACGCAUGCACUGUGAUGUGAAUGAACUCACGUACUGUUGUUAUCUUCUUGGAUUAGUAUGCACGUAAAUAGGGAUGCAGAUCACAUGGAUUAUUAUGCAAGUUAUAUACCAAUGGAUGUCAAGUCCACAUCAUUGAGGGAAGUGGAUGUGAAGACAUGGUUUCACUGGUGGGAAGUGACUGGAGCAAGAAGAAGAACUUGAUGCAUAGAGUGGCAUCUCUCCCAACCAGUCUUCCUUGUGAUGAUGGCACUGUGUAAUCUUGAUUCUGCCACCAGAGAGUUGCUGAAGGAAUGAUUUCAGACAAGCAAAUGCCUGCUUUAUUCUAUAUUCCUUUUUGCCAAAGUUGAACAUUUCAAGUAAGUCUCUCUCUCUUUCUCUUAUCUCAGGACAUUCUGGAUUUGUUAUAGGAAGUCAAGAUUUCUGGUCACUUGGGAAAUUGGAGGAAGAUAUGCAAGAAUUUGCCUUUAUUUUGAUCCUUCAUUCCUGUCUGGGAGAGGAACUUAAUCUGAUUCUGAAAUUUCCAUCUUUUUAGCUUCAAGAAAAUAGAAAGAUACUUCCAUCUCUAAAACCCUUCUAGUAGGAGCACACUUUUAUUCCAAUCAUUUCCUAAUAGUUCGAUACUUAUGGUUAUCACAUUUAAAUUGGCCAAUAAAAAUACCACAGGUUUCAAUUCAAUUUAAUUUAUUUUUUGGUUAAAGAGUAUGAACAAAAAGAGAAUGUUUAGACCAGUUAAUAUUCAAGAACUUGCAGUCAGAAGCUGGUCAGAUCUGUUCAAGCAAGCAGAGUUUACAUAUCCAAUAUGAUACAGAGAACCAUUCCUUUGUGCAAUGAUUGUUUUCUUUAUCUGUUCAUGGGAUCACAGUGCAAGCCUCACCAAAGGAUCAGCUUCCUCAGCUGAAGAAGCUUGUCAGGAAUAG